rnacentral:rRNA from 1 species
CAGCCGCCGCGGUAAUACGUAGGGUGCGAGCGUUAAUCGGAAUUACUGGGCGUAAAGCGCGCGCAGGCGGUUUUGUAAGACAGGCGUGAAAUCCCCGGGCUCAACCUGGGAAUGGCGCUUGUGACUGCAAAGCUAGAGUGCGGCAGAGGGGGAUGGAAUUCCGCGUGUAGCAGUGAAAUGCGUAGAUAUGCGGAGGAACACCGAUGGCGAAGGCAAUCCCCUGGGCCUGCACUGACGCUCAUGCACGAAAGCGUGGGGAGCAAACAGGAUUAGAUACCCCUGUAGUCCCUGUCUCUUAUAC